AGCUCAAAUUUGAAAUCUGGUGGCCUCAGGUCAUCCGAGUUGUAAUCUAUAGAAGUGUUUUCCGUGCUGGCUCAUGUACAAGUCCCUUGGAACAGGGCGUCAUAGAGGGUGAGAAUCCCGUCCUUGACAUGAACUACCAGUGCUCUGUGAUACAUUUUCAACGAGUCGAGUUGUUUGGGAAUGCAGCUCAAAAUGGGUGGUAAAUUCCAUCUAAAGCUAAAUAUUGGCGAGAGACCGAUAGCGAACAAGUACCGUGAGGGAAAGAUGAAAAGCACUUUGGAAAGAGAGUUAAACAGUAUGUGAAAUUGUUGAAAGGGAAACGAUUGAAGUCAGUCGUGCUCUUUGGAUUCAGCCGGUUCUGCCGGUGUACUUCCUUUGAGUGGGGUCAACAUCAGUUUUGAUCGCUGGAUAAAGGCUGGAGGAACGUAGUACCCUCGGGUAAACUUAUAGCCUCCUGUCACAUACAGUGGUUGGGACUGAGGAACGCAGCACGCCUUUAUGGCCGGGAUUCGUCCACGUACGUGCU
rnacentral:rRNA from 1 species